GAAUGCUGACAUAAGUAACGAUAAAGCGGGUGAAAAGCCCGCUCGCCGGAAGACCAAGGGUUCCUGUCCAACGUUAAUCGGGGCAGGGUGAGUCGACCCCUAAGGCGAGGCCGAAAGGCGUAGUCGAUGGGAAACAGGUUAAUAUUCCUGUACUUGGUGUUACUGCGAAGGGGGGACGGAGAAGGCUAUGUUGGCCGGGCGACGGUUGUCCCGGUUUAAGCGUGUAGGUGUGUGUUCCAGGUAAAUCCGGUUCACUUUAACACUGAGGCGUGACGACGAGGCACUACGGUGCUGAAGCAACAAAUGCCCUGCUUCCAGGAAAAGCCUCUAAGCAUCAGGUAACAUCAAAUCGUACCCCAAACCGACACAGGUGGUCAGGUAGAGAAUACCAAGGCGCUUGAGAGAACUCGGGUGAAGGAACUAGGCAAAAUGGUGCCGUAACUUCGGGAGAAGGCACGCUGACAUGUAGGUGAAGUGAUUUACUCAUGGAGCUGAAGUCAGUCGAAGAUACCAGCUGGCUGCAACUGUUUAUUAAAAACACAGCACUGUGCAAACACGAAAGUGGACGUAUACGGUGUGACGCCUGCCCGGUGCCGGAAGGUUAAUUGAUGGGGUCAGCGCAAGCGAAGCUCCUGAUCGAAGCCCCGGUAAACGGCGGCCGUAACUAUAACGGUCCUAAGGUAGCGAAAUUCCUUGUCGGGUAAGUUCCGACCUGCACGAAUGGCGUAAUGAUGGCCAGGCUGUCUCCACCCGAGACUCAGUGAAAUUGAACUCGCUGUGAAGAUGCAGUGUACCCGCGGCAAGACGGAAAGACCCCGUGAACCUUUACUAUAGCUUGACACUGAACAUUGAGCCUUGAUGUGUAGGAUAGGUGGGAGGCUUUGAAGCGUGGACGCCAGUCUGCGUGGAGCCAACCUUGAAAUACCACCCUUUAAUGUUUGAUGUUCUAACGUGGACCCGUAAUCCGGGUUGCGGACAGUGUCUGGUGGGUAGUUUGACUGGGGCGGUCUCCUCCUAAAGAGUAACGGAGGAGCACGAAGGUUGGCUAAUCCUGGUCGGACAUCAGGAGGUUAGUGCAAUGGCAUAAGCCAGCUUGACUGCGAGCGUGACGGCGCGAGCAGGUGCGAAAGCAGGUCAUAGUGAUCCGGUGGUUCUGAAUGGAAGGGCCAUCGCUCAACGGAUAAAAGGUACUCCGGGGAUAACAGGCUGAUACCGCCCAAGAGUUCAUAUCGACGGCGGUGUUUGGCACCUCGAUGUCGGCUCAUCACAUCCUGGGGCUGAAGUAGGUCCCAAGGGUAUGGCUGUUCGCCAUUUAAAGUGGUACGCGAGCUGGGUUUAGAACGUCGUGAGACAGUUCGGUCC
rnacentral:rRNA from 1 species